GACAUUUCACUUUAUUUAAAAGAAGCCAAUAUACAGGAUAUAAAGGGCAUGAUAUUUACAACAGUACAGUAAACAGGUUGGUUUCCGGUAGGAUCAGUAGUCUUUCAAUGAGUAUAAACCCUCCCCCUUUCCCCUUGACACUAGACCCAAUGGGCAGACAAACAGCAACAGUGGGGUGGGAUGGGACUGCGGGAUACAAAGUCUCCCUGGAUGGGGCUAAAAAUCAGGUAGAUGCUAAAAUGUCCACGAAGGGGUCUUGCUGGGGGUGGGGAUGGUGCCUGGCUUCGUUUCUUUGAGGGCCAGGCAGUGGGAAUGGUGGGGGAUUCGCCCAAGACUAACACACAGGCCACCCCGAACCUGGAAAUCCUCCACCCAAAGGGAAGCUCCCUUUCAGAGAGAAUUUGCCUUGACCCAUACCCACCCAGCUGCCCCCAGACUCCCCCGUGCCAGGAGGAUGCCCUUCUAGAACCAGAGCUCGGUGUGCCGAGAUGGUCAACCCGGGUCUGAGGAAGCCCCAGGUGCCCAGUCCCUGCCCCAGGCCCUGGAGGAGCACACCAAGGGCUGCAGCCCGAACCUCGGCCUGGAGCAAGCACAGCUGGGGCUGGGUGGUGGGCGUCUCCUGGAGCACUCCCAUUCCUGCUCCAGCUGCCUGACAGCCUGGGACCCCGCAGCCUGGGACCCUGUAGGGCCCAGGCCCCAAGGGAGCCGCAUACUCCCUGAACCAACAGUCUCAUGGCCACCCACAGUCCGCUGCUUCUCAGCCUCCCCCAGACACAGCUAACUCGGAAAUGGAUCUUGGCAGACCAGAGCCCACCCUCUGAAGCAGAGCUCAUCCCCUACCCGGUGCCCCAUCUCCCAUCCUCCACCCCCCUCCCCGACCUUGAUUCUGAAUCCCUCACCACCCACCCACUCCCCCGAGUUACCCCCCCCAUCAAAGACUUUCAAGGACCAAGGAGCUGGGGGGGGUGGUGGUGGAGGAACAAGAAAGUGGGGUGAGGUGGGACCUAGGCUCUGCCGAAGCCGCUCAUGGGUGCAGGUGACCUGGCAGUGAGGCCAGGGGGACGGGAGGGGCACUGGUUAUAUUCAGUCCAGCAGCAACAUGCAUCUUGUUCACAGGAGAACGCGGGGCUACCGUAACUGCCUACCCUAGAUUUAAAAACCCUUUCCUUUCAUAAAAAUAGAUGAGAAUCUCUUGCUUUAUAAAUAGAUUACAUUUAGCUUAAGUUACACCAUACAGUACCUGCCACCCCACACCCUCUCCCCCAUUCCAAGCCAAAGUGGUUUGCUUCUCUGUAGGUCAGAGCUCAGUCCGCGAUGGGCUGGCCCUUCGGAGACCUCAAGGUAUAUUGCUGCAAGAAAACAAGAGGUGUUCACUUGCCAAUGAUUUUUUUUUCCCCUGUUUGGAGUCUCAGAGGUGCGUGCGCGCGUGCGUGCGUGCGCGUGUGUGUGAUCCACAACCAGGGAGGUGAAAGGAAGCUACUUCUCCCUGCCUCUCCCCAAUCCUCUCUUUUUAUAAAAUCCCCCCCAAAAUAGGAGAGUGAGAGAGGGCAGCGCAGGAGAGCCCAUCUGAGAACGACCUUAAAAUACCAAUGUCAAUAUGACACUGGGCUUAGAAAUAGAAAUUUGAGUAUUUACAGCUUUACAAAGGACGGACCAGUUCUUCCCAACUGGACCUGGUGCUGCCCCAGCGAGCGUUGGGGGCUUUCUUGGCAAGCUGUGGGCUCAUGGCGAGGGCACAAGCAGGGCCCACUGGCAACAAACUCAAAAAAAAGAACUUGGUGGGGAGAAAGGCAGCCAGGCCCAGACCUGGGCUCCCCGCCUCCCACCACUAGCCCCUGCCCAGGAGGCAGGUCUGCUGCACGCCCAUCCACCUGCCCCAAAUCCCUGCUCCCCAGGGGAGCACAGCUAUAGGAAAGCAGCAGGAAGGAGCUGCAUGGCCAGCGUCCAUCUGGCUCCUGCCACUUCCAGACUCCCUGGACAAACUAGAGCACCCUAGUCCCCGAGACAAACAUCCUAUGUACACGAAGGGGGAAGCAUAAAUAAUACCACUGGACACCGACUGCCACGGUCACCUGGGUUAUUACCCCCCCCCCCAAUACUUACACUGUCGCCUUAUGUCUUAACACUAAAGAUAGGUCUGUCACCCUCCCCACCACCUUGAGAACCACCCCGGGGCCGGCCUCUGCUCUGCCUCCCACACCACACCUUCAAUCACACCCUCCCCCCCAGCCCUGGACAGAGGAAGCCCGAGGGGUUCCUCCCAGAAACGGAAAAUCUUUCCAGCAGCUGAGGUCCAAGCCCGACUGGCUCUGAUCACCUUUGGUUAAAAUGAAACUAAAACGAAAACAACAAUAACGCUAAUGACAAGAAUAGUCAGCUACGUUUGAACCCUGUAACCUUUAGAAGAAGGGUCAGUGAGGAGGAGGGGAAGGGGCUGGCUCUCCUCUGAAGCCACCGUCCCUCCACGUACCUGCCCAGGGACUGUCUGGCUGCCAGACUGCCACAGGGAACCAGCAGGUUCCCUCAACACCACCACCAGAAAUAAAAAGGAAACAAACUCACAAUAAAGGCCACCAAGUGCUGAUAAAUAAAAAUCACAUACAGUCACUAACACACGCACGCUCUCUCUCCAUAUAUAUAUAUAUAUAUGGAUACUAUAUAUAUAUAAUAUACACAUCGUAUUAUAUAUAUAUAAUAUGAAUAUUAUGUACAAUGGUCUUAAGACUGCAAAACAGGUGGGGAAACGGAAGAGAGAGAAGGCCCUUACAGGUCGCUGGUACCCUGAGGAAGAAAGACAGGGGGCUGCAAUCUGAUGGAAAGCCAGAGCCCCCCAUCCUCUGCCUUCCGCAGGAGAGCAGGAGGUGGGAAGUUCUGGGAAGUUCUGGUCCUCGGGCACGUGUCCCUUCUUUGACCUCCAGGGGGCGCUCCUGGGCCAGUCAAGAAACAAAAAUGGGCAAUCCCACCCACAGGAGUGGGUACAGAAAAAAAUCAUUAAAAAAAAAAAAAAAAAAAGCAAAACCCGCUCGGCUAGCUCCAAGCUGAGAUUUGGCAGGUGGCCUCAACCCAGUGCCUUGUGACACAGGCCCACCUAAGUCUUGGGGAGAUACUGGCUCAGAUGAACUCCCCACUGGUCGGUCAAUCAAGUGAAGUAAUGGAAACAGGCUUGCAUGUGUCCAUGAGAACAAAGGAUGGCUCUCACUCCAGCUCGGCUCCUGCCACACCUCUGAUCCGCCGGCCCUCGCUGUCCCCCACGGCUCCCCUUCCCUCUCCAGGGCCUGCCAGUGGCCCAACGGUGGGCGACCCCAUGAAGACGGCGGCAGGCAGUGGGAACCCAGCUCUGCUGUGGAGGGGGUGGACGCCAGGCCUAGCCCCCUUCAGACUUUCUCACAGAGAAAUUACAGAUCUCUAGCCCCUUAUCACUGGCUGGGAAGGGAGAGAAAGAAACAUCAAGUCAUCAGGGCACUAAAAGACCCCUCCCACCGCACAGAGGUCCCCAGAAAGCAAGCAGUCCGGUGAGCCAUGGCCUUGCAGGCUUCCCCCACCCCCAGCCUCACCAUCGACCUUGACAAACGGCCCCCUUCCAGCGGGUGCUCACCCUCAGGGGGCUGCCUCGGCCUCCCUCCCAGCUCCAGGGCAACACCAGGAGUCUGGGCCGAGGGCCGACCUUACACAAUGAUAUAAGGCAAGCUGCUUUUUUUGUUUGUUUGUUUUGUGGGUUGUUUUUUUUGUUUUUUUGUUUUUUUGUGUUUUUUUUUUUUUGCAUAGUAGUUUAAACACAGUGAGAUUCCACUUUCCCCCACGGUGCCUUGUCCCUCCGCUUCGCCACUCGAUCCAAAAAAGAAAAUAAAAUUUUGUCUGCCCUCCCUCCUUCCAUCUUUUCUCUCAGUCAGUAAGUAAGUAAAAAAACACUUGGGGUGGGGGGUGGGGGUCGGGGUAACCCCACACACACACCGCCCAGGCCUGGAAAGGUUGCACAGGCAAACAGCUCCUUCCUGGGGUGCGGGUGGUGGGGGGUAGUGGACCACCCCAAGGUCAGCACUGGCCAGGCAGAGGCGGGGAGGGCAGAGCUCAUGGCCAAUCAGAGGAGCAGGUGGGAGGGUAGACAUCCACAUGAUCCCACGCCAGGGGCCCCGCCCUCACCUUAGAGUUUUGUAUAAAAACACCUGCUAGGAAGAAUUCUUUGGAGCUCAAAGUGGCUCAGCUUAAGGGAAAAGGCACAGU
rnacentral:lncRNA from 1 species